GAUGAACGCUGGCGGCGUGCUUAACACAUGCAAGUCGAACGGAGAUAUUAAAAAUGAAGUAAGGAGCUUGCUUCGGACGGAAUGAUUAAUAUCUUAGUGGCGGACGGGUGAGUAACGCGUGGAUAACCUGCCUUAUACUGGGGGAUAACACUUAGAACUAGGUGCUAAUACCGCAUAAGCGCACAGCUUCGCAUGAAGCAGUGUGAAAAACUCCGGUGGUAUAAGAUGGAUCCGCGUCUGAUUAGCUAGUUGGUGGGGUAACGGCCCACCAAGGCGACGAUCAGUAGCCGGCCUGAGAGGGUGAACGGCCACAUUGGGACUGAGACACGGCCCAAACUCCUACGGGAGGAAGCAGUGGGGAAUAUUGCACAAUGGGGGAAACCCUGAUGCAGCGACGCCGCGUGAGUGAAGAAGUAUUUCGGUACGUAAAGCUCUAUCAGCAAGGAAGAAAAUGACGGUACUUGACUAAGAAGCCCCGGCUAACUACGUGCCAGCCGCCGCCGUAA
rnacentral:rRNA from 1 species